CCUACGGGUGGCUGCAGUGGGGAAUAUUGCACAAUGGGCGCAAGCCUGAUGCAGCCAUGCCGCGUGUGUGAAGAAGGCCUUCGGGUUGUAAAGCACUUUCAGCGGGGAGGAAGGCGGUGAGGUUAAUAACCUCAUCGAUUGACGUUACCCGCAGAAGAAGCACCGGCUAACUCCGUGCCAGCAGCCGCGGUAAUACGGAGGGUGCAAGCGUUAAUCGGAAUUACUGGGCGUAAAGCGCACGCAGGCGGUCUGUCAAGUCGGAUGUGAAAUCCCCGGGCUCAACCUGGGAACUGCAUUCGAAACUGGCAGGCUAGAGUCUUGUAGAGGGGGGUAGAAUUCCAGGUGUAGCGGUGAAAUGCGUAGAGAUCUGGAGGAAUACCGGUGGCGAAGGCGGCCCCCUGGACAAAGACUGACGCGCAGGUGCGAAAGCGUGGGGAGCAAACAGGAUUAGAUACCCGAGUAGUC
rnacentral:rRNA from 1 species